UACAGAGGUGGCGAGCGUUAUUCGGAAUUAUUGGGCGUAAAGAGCUCGUAGGCGGUUUGUCGCGUCUGCCGUGAAAGUCCGGGGCUCAACUCCGGAUCUGCAGUGGGUACGGGCAGACUAGAGUGUGGUAGGGGAGACUGGAAUUCCUGGUGUAGCGGUGAAAUGCGCAGAUAUCAGGAGGAACACCGAUGGCGAAGGCAGGUCUCUGGGCCACUUCUGACGCUGAGAAGCGAAAGCAUGGGGAGCGAACAGG
rnacentral:rRNA from 1 species